rnacentral:rRNA from 1 species
CCGGCACGGGUGAGUAACACGUAUGCAAUCCACCUGUAACAGGGGGAUAACCCGGAGAAAUCCGGACUAAUACCCCAUAAUAUGGGCGCUCCGCAUGGAGAGCCCAUUAAAGAGAGCAAUUUUGGUUACAGACGAGCAUGCGCUCCAUUAGCCAGUUGGCGGGGUAACGGCCCACCAAGACUACGAUGGAUAGGGGUUCUGAGAGGAAGGUCCCCCACAUUGGAAUUGAGACACGGUCCAA